AGAGAGAGAGAGAGAGAGAGAGAGAGAGAGCUGGGGCAGGAGUUGUGUAAAAGGGGCUGAAGUCCUGCGCUGCGUCCUCCACUGCUGCUGCGCUGUAAAGAAAAGUAGGCACCACCAGAUAUAUAAAUGCUGCCGAACCGUUUUAUAUCGUGGAUGUAAAACAAACAGACAGACAGCGACACACCCUCGUGAAGGUCCAGGACUCCGCCGGAGCAGUGGGCGAGGCAGGCUGAACUCCGCCGGACCGUCCAGAUGGUUUGUCCGCGCAGCAGGAGCGGUUCGGCCGGUGGUCAAGGAAUAUGUGCACCCAACGCAGGCGAGGCAAGGAGAAGGAGUCACAGUCUGUGCCUUCAAAGCAGGGGCUGUCCGUCACUCCAGGCAACUCUCACGCUCUCUGGAUGACUCCUCAGCGCUCCCUCACUCUUGGCCCCAAAUGGCUGACACACUGCAGUUCUUCACUGGCAAGCUUUAUGUUCCUGUACACAUGCUAAAGCUGCCAGCUGAAGAACUGCUCUGGUCAGCCCUGCCCCGGAUGACUCGAGAGGAAGUGAAUGGGGGUUUGCUGGGAAGAGGACGGAGGAAGGCGGUGGUUCACACGCUCAGUAGUCAGACUGGAGUUUAAUAAUGACAGAUUUUAGCCAACAUUGUUUAUAAUCCUGUGUUUAUUACAUGCAAGUCUUUUUUCUUCUUCUCUCAAAACCCUGUGUAAAUGUCUUAUGAAGUGUGUUUCUCUUCUUACAAUAAAGAACCAAAUGUUUUUCUCAGA